GACGAACGCUGGCGGCGUGCUUAACACAUGCAAGUCGAACGAAGUGGCGCACGGGUGAGUAACGCGUAAUCAACCUGCCCUUCAGAGGGGGACAACAGUUGGAAACGACUGCUAAUACCGCAUACUGAAGGAGGGGAUUGCGUCUGAUUAGCUAGUUGGCGGGGUAACCGCCCACGAGGGCGAUGAUCAGUAGCCGGUCUGAGAGGAGGAAGGGGCACAGUGGGACUGAGACACGGACCAGACUACGACGGGUGGCAGCAGGGGGGAAUCUUGCGCAAUGGACGAAAGUCUGGCGGAGCAACGCCGCGUGAGUGAUGACGGCCUUCGGGUUGGAAAGCUCGGUUAAUCGGGACGCGGUACCGGAAUAGAAAGCCACGGCUAACUACGUGCCAGCAGCCGCGGUAAUAC
rnacentral:rRNA from 1 species